GCGAGCGGGCCGAGUUCCCUUCGAACCCCGCCCCCUGCGGCCGAGCGGGACCCGUCCCCCCCAGCUCGCCAGGCGGCUCGCAGACCUGCGAGGGAAACCUGCCCCCUUCGGGCUGGUCGCUCACCCUGGCGGCGGGCGGCCGAGGUGCGUUUCAAUUCCACAGGUAUGUGCGAGGCAGCUGGAUACUCGGCACGACGUGACUAUAAGCUUGAACAUCCAAGUCUUAAUUUCCACGGUUAUAAAUGAUUCGAGGGAGAGGUACGCAGUGGAAUCUCCAAGGUCGUUUGUGACACCAAGUUUGGCCAGGUAGUGAGCUGACAGCAGUGGAAGUAAAGCUACAGAAGGAUGUUAGCGAGCUGCGUGGGAGGCCAGACGCCUGCCAGCUGAGCGUCAGUGUGGGCAACAAGAAGAUAAUCACAGCUCAAGGAAAAUAAUUUAAUGAACCUGAAAACCAUUUCUUGAAGUUCUGAAUCCACAGCCCUGCCCUUCAAUCCCCACCAAAAAUCCCUAAUAGCAUGCAGAUAAGAAUACUGGAAACAAAAUGUCACAAUCCCAUCCUUGUAUCAAAUUAUAGUAAAUUCACGCCAUAAUGAGUGUCAUUCUGUUCUCUGGCACUCACGGACGAUGUGAAAGGACUGGAAAGGGUUCAAUAGAGAGUAAUUAAAAUGACAA